rnacentral:rRNA from 1 species
UACGAAGGGGGCUAGCGUUGCUCGGAAUGACUGGGCGUAAAGGGCGCGCAGGCGGUUUUGUAAGUCUAAAGUGAAAUCCUUGGGCUUAACUGUGAGCGUGCGGGCGAUACGGGCAGACUAGAGUACUGCAGGGGAGACUGGAAUUCCUGGUGUAGCGGUGGAAUGCGCAGAUAUCAGGAGGAACACCGGUGGCGAAGGCGGGUCUCUGGGCAGUAACUGACGCUGAGGAGCGAAAGCGUGGGGAGCGAACAGG